CGGGAAACUGGGGAUAAUACCCGAUGGUCCUCGACUGCUGGAAUGCAUCGAGGACUAAAGCUCCGGCGCCUAAGGAUGGGUCUGCGGUCUAUCAGGUUGUAGUGGGUGUAACGUACCUACUAGCCUACGACGGAUACGGGUUGUGGGAGCAAGAGCCCGGAGAUGGAUUCUGAGACAUGAAUCCAGGCCCUACGGGGCGCAGCAGGCGCGAAAACUUUACAAUGCAGGAAACUGCGAUAAGGGGACACCGAGUGCCAGCAUCCUAUGUUGGCUGUCCGCAUGUUUAAAUCACAUGUGUUAGCAAGGGCCGGGCAAGACCGGUGCCAGCCGCCGCGGUAACA
rnacentral:rRNA from 1 species